AAUUUAAGCUCCAGAUCCAGCUAGAUCUGUCCCUAGGCUGAUUUACUCCUGGAGGAUCAGGGGAUGGCCUGCAAGGUGUCCUGGGCUCGUUGCCAUUUCCAUUUGUCUCCCAGCCCUUCAUGUGGGGCAGCACUGGGGGGCAGCUGAGCUCAGUGCUACCCUCAGCCCCUUCUGCUCGGUCUGCAUGUGUUCCCAUUAGGGGCGAAACACAGCACAGACUGCACUGAGAUUUCUGCUGGGGGGUUUAAGAAGGCAGAAAAUACAUCAGUGGGGAAUAUAUAUACAUAUAUAUAUAUGUAUGUGUGUGUAUGCAUAUAUAUAUACACACGUAUAAAUGCAUAGGACAGCUGCUUUAGUUGAUGGGAACUAUGUGAAAAGUGCUGGGAUUUCCUAAGCCCUUCCCUAAGGGCUGUGCAUGUAAUACAGUGAAGAAAGAUUGUAUAUUUAAAGGGGGUCAAAAGGAGAGGCAGCCAGGAGAGCUUGGGAGAAAAACAGGCUGCUCCUGGAGUGUUUGGGGUGGGUGUUUGGGCUGUAGGGACGUUUCCAUGAGGUCUGGCUGGGGUCUGUUAGUGUUGGAGCAUCGCCCCUCCACGGUCUGUGAGGCGCCAGAGGGUGCUCGUGCACCGCAGUGCAGAGCUGUCCUCUUCCUCAGCCAUUUUAAACCGAAUGUUUUCCUCUCCUGCAGUCUCCAUUUUAUGUUUCCAGUGCAGAAAAUAGAACAGGGAUUACUGGGGGAGGAAGGGAAGGGGGGGAGAGGUGCCGAGGCAAAGCCCAGCGCUGGGGGAGGGCGGGUAUGGGACGGUGUGAGGGGCUCCCUUGGGAGGAUGCUGGAAGUGGGCUCUGCAGGGAUGCUCUGCUUUAUCCCCCUGCCAGCCCCGAGCCCUCCCCGUGCUGCUUCAGAGUGUGGCAUCACUUUUUGGCCCUCAUCUCUGCACCCAGCUGGGCGCAUCACCGCAGGCCCUAUGGGAUCUGCAGGGCUGCUCCUGCCUGCCUUCCCUCUUUCCUUGCUGAGGAUGCUGAGUUCUGUUCUCGUCCCGUUUCCUCCCUGCCCACGCGUGCUGGGUGGGAUGUUGUCCCAGGUUUGUUACCAGCACGUCACCUUUCCCAGCUGCACGGAAAGCCCCGCGAGAACCUCCAGCAUGCAAUAGCUGAGUGCUUGUUGGCAUGGCCUCUAUUUCUAGGAACUGCCCUUUAUCAUCACUGUGCAGCACAGGGGGGGCCAGGCAGGCAUUUCUCAAUCCGGGAUAUGAAGCAAACUCUGCAUUCGUUUCCAGAAGGGAAUAUCAUGGAGCAGACCCAAAGGGCAGCUCCUAACCCCUGGGUUACGUGUGCAGCAAUGGCAGCUGGUGUCGCAGUGUCCAGCUGACCCCACAGCAGGUAACACAGCCAGGUAACACCGCAGCUCCUUCCCGCAUCCAUCUGUCCACUCUUCACUGAUGUGUCCCACUCGCUCUCAGCCCUGGGCCCGGUUUAUCCUCAAGCCCUUUCAUCCCCCGUGAUUCCCCCUCUGUUGCUCCCCUCGCAGUGUGACUUUGCAGCUUAAUGGAGCUUUUUGUUCUGCUCGUACCCGACUGCUUUUCAUCUUUCUUUCCUUCCCACAGCCGUGCACAAAGAGGCUUCUCAGGAAGAUGAUAAACAUCCUAAGAACUGCUGUGGCUUCUGGAGACGCUCACAUCAGUGUCUUUUCCUUUAAACAUCCUGAGCUGAAGGGCCCUUUGCCUCUGAUGUCAUUCGUGCCCACACAGCCGAAAAUAGGUGCUGAGUUCUGGCAUGUAAAGCCAGCAGUGCGUGAAGUGGAGUUGCUAACAGCUCAGGAGCUGCCUGAGCUGCUGAGAGCCCCUUGGGAAGAGGUAUGUGCCAGUGUAUAUGAGGUCUGUGCGUGGAAGAGACAAAGGCUGGUCACAAAGCAGGGGGCUUCUGCUCAGCCUGGAACAGCAGAGGGGCGGGAUGGGGCUGAGCAGAGGGUGCUGGUAGUGUUGCGCUCAGGGCUGGGUGCUCCAGGGGUCUGCCAGGAGCAAUGCUUGGCCCUGCCCCUACUCCUGCAGGGGAAUAAGGGGUUAAAAAGGGUGGUGGCACAAUUCAAGCAUCCAUUCAUCUCUCUGUUUUCUUGGUGCUUGUGGGGCUGGGGGCCAUAGCACUGCCACACCAGGGUGGCAAGAGUCCCACCAGGCUGGUGGCAGGGAUGGGUCACCAUUGAACAGCCAAAUGUGGGUGGCUGCAUUCCACAGCUCCAGAAAGCUGCAGAAUGAGGGAGAGAUCAGGAUAUGUGAGCUGGAGCCUUGCCCAAGGGCUUUUGUUUUCUUGUCAUCGUUCCCUUUAAUAUAAAGCUGUUUCUUGUGGCUCUGCAGCUGUGG
rnacentral:lncRNA from 1 species